AUACGGAAGGUCCGGGCGUUAUCCGGAUUUAUUGGGUUUAAAGGGAGCGCAGGCGGAGAUGCAAGCGUGACGUCAAAUUUCGGGGCUCAACCCCGUCUCGCGUCGCGAACUGCGUCCCUUGGUUGCGGGAAGGGGAGGCGGAACUCGUGGUGUAGCGGUGAAAUGCAUAGAUAUCACGAAGAACUCCGAUCGCGAAGGCAGCCUUCCGGCCCGUCAACGACGCUCAUGCUCGAAGGUGCGGGUAUCAAACAGGAUUAGAUACCCUGGUAGUCCGCACAGUAAACGAUGGACACCCGCGGUUUGGCCUGUAUGGCUGAGCCGCCAAGCGAAAGCGUUAAGUGUCCCACCUGGGGAGUACGCCGGCAACGGUGAAACUCAAAUGAAUGGACGGGG
rnacentral:rRNA from 1 species